CUGCACUGUACACUGACUUCCGGGUACAGGAGAGACGACGGCUGCAGCUGCUGCUUAUCACAGCAAGUGAAGUCUCUCCCUCCAUUCCCUCCCACCCAUCGUGCAAGUGCUCCUUAUAUUGUAGAUUGUUUCAUACCAGUUUCCACUUAUGAACAUUGUGCAGGAUCUCUUGAGAAUAUUUGUUGCACUCUAUCCAGGGAAGGGCAGACAAUCGCCUCCCAGAAACAGUAAACUGAAACCUGAGCUCAAAUGAGCUGACCCAGGUGAUACUGUAUGCUGUAGACUAUUACAUUAAAGCAUGUUCAGUGAACUUCCAGAUGGACAUGUGGUCAAAGUCAACCAGGAGUCAUCAUGCAUGAACCCUAAAGUACUAAUACGAGAUGUAGUCAGCUAAUUGGCCAAGUCAAGAUAUGGCAGUGACUGAAUCAAGAAGUAUAAUCACUUUACUAUUUAGACUUCGCUGGCACAAGCUUUGUUUGAAGCCCAUGUACUGGCAAAUGACGCCAAUAAAAUAUAUUUCUCAUUAAGGCGAUAGGUGGCAAAAUACAAAAAAUUAAACCUACAGAGGUGACAGGUCUGACUUGAGACUCUCUGCCACUAUGGGCUGAGACUGAGGUAGAAUGUCUCUGGAAUCAAAAUCAUAUCUUACAGUAAAACUAAAAAUGAUGUACUCUUACCACACUAACCCUUCCUCCUCUGACUGUGAUCUUGCACAAUACAGCUAUAAUGCAUUCAAUCACUGCAUGGCUCCUUGUUUGUGAGCUGAAACAUUUUACCAAAAGGAGGAACCAAAAGAAGAACAUGAUUUAUCCCCUAAUUGUUUCACAAAUGCAAAGGGGUUACUGAAGAACAACAUUUGCAGGAAUCAAUGAAGAAAACAAUUUUGUUCCCUCAGAAAUGUACUGAUUUAGGCCUUGCAUGUAUUCAAUUAUUUACUUUUAAUUUAAAUGGAAUCUUUUAAACAAUACACUAUAUUCAUUUAAGUACUUUGCAUUAUAUUAAUUUGCUUGUAAUGUUCCUUUAAAAUAUUUAUCCUAUUAAACAUAUUGGAGUAGAUAAUUACAAUCCUAUAAGGAGAAAGCUUGAAUUUCGUUGCACCAACAAAGACAGCAUUGCAUUCAUAAACAAAACAUAUUUUAUAAUAUUAU